rnacentral:rRNA from 1 species
GAUGAACGCUGGCGGCGUGCUUAACACAUGCAAGUCGAGCGGGAGAGAGGGGCUUUUGCACGGUGCUGGCGGGGGGCGGGCGGGUGAGUCACGCGAGUGAACGUGCCCCAAAGUGAGGAAAAACUGAACGAAAUGGUAGUAAAUCCUGCAUAUUAUGUUCGGAUCAAGGGGUUUAUCGGCUUUGGGAGCGGCUCGUGUCGGAAUAGGUGGUUGGUGAGGUAAUGGGUUACCAAGCUGGCGAUGCGUAGCUGGUUUGGGAGGAUGACCAGACAGACUGGCACUGAGACACGUGCCAGACUCCUACGGGAGGGAGCAGUGAGGAAUCAUCCACGACGGGCGAAAGCCUGAUGGAGCAACGCCGCGUAGAGGACGAAGGCCGUCGGAUUGUAAUCUGCUUUUAUAAGUGAGGAAUAUGACGGUAACUUAUGAAUAAGGAUCGGCUAACUACGUG